GAUGAAGAACGCAGCGAAAUGCGAUAAGUAAUGUGAAUUGCAGAAUUCAGUGAAUCAUCGAAUCUUUGAACGCACAUUGCGCCCGCCAGCACUCUGGCGGGCAUGCCUGUUCGAGCGUCAUUUCAACCAUCAAGCCCCCAGGGGCUUGUGCUGGGGCCCUGCGGCUGCACGCAGGCCCUGAAAACCAGUGGCGGGCUCGCUAGUCACACCGAGCGCAGUAGCACAUCUCGCUCAGGGCGUGCGGCGGGCUCCUGCCGUGAAACCCCCCACUGUAACCCCAAAGGUUGACCUCGGAUCAGGUAGGAAUACCCGCUGAACUUAAGCAUAUCAAUAAGCGGAGGA
rnacentral:misc_RNA from 1 species